rnacentral:lncRNA from 10 species
AGCCAUCAUCUCUCCACACAGGCAGGAGCCCUGAGAAAAGGAAAGGACGGCCUGUUACGGCCGUUUCCCAGAUCCCGUCCACGUGUCAGGUCCCUCAUUACCGCCUCUCACCAUCCCGCUUUCCAGAUGAGGACCAGCCCCAGGUCAGUAAAUGGCUAGACCCUUAUUCAGCAAGAGUGGCCUGAGGCUCUGGAGGGGUGGGAGGGGCCGAGGGGAAAGGCUCCUGGAGAUGGAGCCCAGGACCCAGCAGCAGCAACAGGAAUAAUAAGGCUAUUACCAUAAGGGAAGUGCAGCAGCCAUUGCAGCUCGUCCCUUCCCUGCUCUGUGACCUUGGAGCACAAUCUUAACUUUCCUGAGCCUCAAUUUUGUCAUCUGAAAAAUAAGGUCAGUUAUCACCCAACCAGGGGUCAAGAGGGAUAAUAGUGAAGGACAUGCAGGUCCUCGUGGCAACAUCCAUGACUGCGGUUGUCAUGCCUCCCAAGCUGGCUUCUUGGCUCCCCUCAAAUCCUGCCGGCAAGUCCCCGAUCUGGGCAUUGGAGACAUAACAGGGCACAAAAGAGACAAAAGCCCCUGUUCUUGUGCAGCUGAUCUUCUUGUGCAGGAGACAGACAACAAAAAUGGAGAUGCGUAAACUUCAGAGGAGGCAGUUUCAGGCAGAGGUCAAGGUAUGAAGGUCAGGGUAGCAGGGUGGCGAAUGAGGCGUGAGCGGCUACUUAGCCAGGGAGGUCAGUGAGGGCCUCUCCAAAGAGGGAUGUUUGACAGGAGACGUGAAAACUGGUGCAGAGAUGGAAAAAGAGUGUUCCAUUCUGAGUGGGGGUGGUCAGCAGGCACAAGGCUUGGAGGCAGGACAGAGCAUGGCCACUCACACAGAGAGCCCAGAGAAACAGAGCGCUGGCCCCGAGUCAGGGAGAGGCUAAGCCAGAUCACGGGACCCUGAGAGCCA